GACGAACGCUGGCGGCGUGCUUAACACAUGCAAGUCGAACGGAAAGGCCCUGCUUUUGUGGGGUGCUCGAGUGGCGAACGGGUGAGUAACACGUGAGUAACCUGCCCUUGACUUUGGGAUAACUUCAGGAAACUGGGGCUAAUACCGGAUAGGAGCUCCUGCUGCAUGGUGGGGGUUGGAAAGUUUCGGCGGUUGGGGAUGGACUCGCGGCUUAUCAGCUUGUUGGUGGGGUAGUGGCUUACCAAGGCUUUGACGGGUAGCCGGCCUGAGAGGGUGACCGGCCACAUUGGGACUGAGAUACGGCCGAGACGCCUACGGGAGGCAGCAGUGGGGAAUAUUGAACGAUGGGCGGAAGCCUGAUGCAGCAACGCCGCGGGCGGGAUGACGGCCUUCGGGUUGUAAACCGAUUUCGCCUGUGACGAAGCGUGAGUGAAGGUAAUGGGUAAAGAAGCACCGGCUAACUACGUG
rnacentral:rRNA from 1 species